rnacentral:tRNA from 1 species
GGGGGUAUAACUCAGUGGUAGAGCAUUCAACUGCAGAUCGAGAGGUCCCGGUUCAAACCCGGGUGUCCUCU